rnacentral:rRNA from 1 species
AUUGAACGCUGGCGGCAGGCUUAACACAUGCAAGUCGAGCGAUGACUAACUAGCUUGCUAGUUAUGAUUAGUGGCGGACGGGUGAGUAACAUUUAGGAAUCUGCCUAGUAGUGGGGGAUAGCUCGGGGAAACUCGAAUUAAUACCGCAUACGACCUACGGGUGAAAGGGGGCGCAAGCUCUUGCUAUUAGAUGAGCCUAAAUCAGAUUAGCUAGUUGGUGGGGUAAAGGCCUACCAAGGCGACGAUCUGUAACUGGUCUGAGAGGAUGAUCAGUCACACCGGAACUGAGACACGGUCCGGACUCCUACGGGAGGCAGCAGUGGGGAAUAUUGGACAAUGGGGGCAACCCUGAUCCAGCCAUGCCGCGUGUGUGAAGAAGGCCUUUUGGUUGUAAAGCACUUUAAGCAGGGAGGAGAGGCUAAUGGUUAAUACCCAUUAGAUUAGACGUUACCUGCAGAAUAAGCACCGGCUAACUCUGUGCCAGCAGCCGCGGUAAUACAGAGGGUGCGAGCGUUAAUCGGAAUUACUGGGCGUAAAGCGAGUGUAGGUGGCUCAUUAAGUCACAUGUGAAAUCCCCGGGCUUAACCUGGGAACUGCAUGUGAUACUGGUGGUGCUAGAAUAUGUGAGAGGGAAGUAGAAUUCCAGGUGUAGCGGUGAAAUGCGUAGAGAUCUGGAGGAAUACCGAUGGCGAAGGCAGCUUCCUGGCAUAAUAUUGACACUGAGAUUCGAAAGCGUGGGUAGCAAACAGGAUUAGAUACCCUGGUAGUCCACGCCGUAAACGAUGUCUACUAGCCGUUGGGGUCCUUGAGACUUUAGUGGCGCAGUUAACGCGAUAAGUAGACCGCCUGGGGAGUACGGCCGCAAGGUUAAAACUCAAAUGAAUUGACGGGGGCCCGCACGAGCGGUGGAGCAUGUGGUUUAAUUCGAUGCAACGCGAAGAACCUUACCUGGUCUUGACAUAGUGAGAAUCCUGCAGAGAUGCGGGAGUGCCUUCGGGAAUUCACAUACAGGUGCUGCAUGGCUGUCGUCAGCUCGUGUCGUGAGAUGUUGGGUUAAGUCCCGCAACGAGCGCAACCCUUUUCCUUAUUUGCCAGCGGGUUAAGCCGGGAACUUUAAGGAUACUGCCAGUGACAAACUGGAGGAAGGCGGGGACGACGUCAAGUCAUCAUGGCCCUUACGACCAGGGCUACACACGUGCUACAAUGGUAGGUACAGAGGGUUGCUACACAGCGAUGUGAUGCUAAUCUCAAAAAGCCUAUCGUAGUCCGGAUUGGAGUCUGCAGCUCGACUCCAUGAAGUCGGAAUCGCUAGUAAUCGCAGAUCAGAAUGCUGCGGUGAAUACGUUCCCGGGCCU